GCGUCGAUAGUCUAGUGGUAGGACCUUAGCCUUCCAAGCUAAUGACCUGGGUUCGAAGAACUUAACGGCUAACAUCAAUUGACUUAAGCCGUUUGUUUGAGUCUCCCAGUCGACGCA
rnacentral:tRNA from 1 species